rnacentral:rRNA from 1 species
GACGAACGCUGGCGGCGUGCCUAAUACAUGCAAGUCGAACGAGAGCAACCGGUGCUUGCACUGGUCAAUCUAGUGGCGAACGGGUGGGUAACACGUGGGUAACCUGCUCAUCAGAGGGGGAUAACAUCCGGAAACGGAUGCUAAAACCGCAUAGGUCUUCGAACCGCAUGGUUUGAAGAGGAAAAGAGGCGCAAGCUUCUGCUGAUGGAUGGACCCGCGGUGCAUUAGCUAGUUGGUGAGGUAACGGCUCACCAAGGCCGUGAUGCAUAGCCGACCUGAGAGGGUGAUCGGCCACAUUGGGACUGAGACACGGCCCAAACUCCUACGGGAGGCAGCAGUAGGGAAUCUUCCGCAAUGGACGCAAGUCUGGCGGAGCAACGCCGCGUGAGUGAAGAAGGUUUUCGGAUCGUAAAACUCUGUUGUUAGAGAAGAACAAGUGCUAGAGUAACUGUUAGCGCCUUGACGGUAUCUAACCAGAAAGCCACGGCUAACUACGUG